rnacentral:rRNA from 1 species
CUCGCAUCGAUGAAGAACGUAGCAAAGUGCGAUAACUAAUGUGAAUUGCAUAUUCAGUGAAUCAUCGAGUCUUUGAACGCAACUUGCGCUCAUUGGUAUUCCAAUGAGCACGCCUGUUUCAGUAUCAAAACAAACCCUCUAUCCAACAUUUUGUUGAA